GACGAACGCUGGCGGCGUGCCUAAUACAUGCAAGUCGAACGAGAGCGCCUGCUGCUUGCUCUGGUUAACGUAGUGGCGAACGGGUGAGUGACGCGUGGGUCACCUGUCCUUUAGCGGGGGCUAACGUUUGGACACGGAAGAUAAAACCGAAUAGGCCUUAGAACCGCAUGGUUUUAAGUGGAAAGGAGGACCAUGCUCUUGUUGAUGGAUGGACGCGCGGUGCAUGAGCUAGUUGGUGGGGUAACGGCUCCCACAGGCCGGGAUGCAUAGACGACGUGGGAGGGGGAUCGGCCACAUUGGGACUGGGACACGGCCCAAACUCCGACGGGAGGCAGCAGUAGGGAUUCUUCCGAAAUGGACGUAAGCCUGACGAAGCAACGCCGCGUGAGUGAAGAAGGUUUUCGGAUCGUAAAUCUCUGUUGUUAGAGAAGAAGAGGUGGUAAAGUAACUGUUAGCGCCGUGACGGUAGCUAAACAGAAAGCCACGGCUAACUACGUG
rnacentral:rRNA from 1 species